UUUUAUAAGAGUUUGAUCCUGGCUCAGGACGAACGCUGGCGGCGUGGAUAAGGCAUGCAAGUCGAACGGUCCCGCUUUCAUAUAGCAAUAUAUGGUUGCGGGAUAGUGGCGAACGGGGUAGUAACACGUGGGUACUUCCCCUGAAGACGGGAAUAAUUCAUCGAAAGGUGGACUAAUACCCGAUGGUCCCGAAAGGGUAAACGGAGUAAUCCGCUUCAGGAAAGGCCUGCGGGCUAUCAGCUAGUUGGUAGGGUAAAAGCCUACCAAGGCUAUGACGGCUAGGGGGCGUGAGAGCGUGAUCCCCACCAAUGGUACUGCGACACGGACCAUACACCUACGGGUGGCUGCAGUCGAGAAUCUUCCACAAUGGACGAAAGUCUGAUGGAGCGACGCCGCGUGCAGGAAGAAGCUCUUCGGGGCGUAAACUGCUUUUAUAGGGGAGAAAGCCGGGUUAUACCGGAUUGAUAGUACUCUAUGAAUAAGGGCCUGCUAAUCUCGUGCCAGCAGCCGCGGUAAUACGAGAGGCCCGAGCGUUGUCCGGAUUUAUUGGGCGUAAAGGGUGUGUAGGCGGUUGUGUUAGUCCUGCUUUAAAUCUUCGGGCCCAACCCGGAGGCUGGGUAGGAAACGGCACAGCUAGAGGAUGCGAGAGGUGAGCGGAACUCACGGUGUAGGGGUGAAAUCCGUUGAUAUCGUGGGGAACACCAAAGGCGAAGGCAGCUCACUGGCGCAUAUCUGACGCUGAAACACGAAAGCGUGGGGAUCAAAAAGGAUUAGAUACCCUUGUAGUCCACGCCCUAAACGAUGAUGACUGGCUAUUGGAAGUAUCGACCCUUCCAGUGGCGAAGCUAACGCGUUAAGUCAUCCGCCUGGGAAGUACGAUCGCAAGAUUAAAACUCAAAGGAAUAGACGGGGACUUGCACAAGCGGUGGAGCAUGUGGUUCAAUUCGACGGUAAACGAAAAACCUUACCAGGGCUUGAAAUCUCGACGACGAUCCGAUGAAAGUUGGAUUUUCUCACAAGGACGGCGAGACAGGUGCUGCAUGGUUGUCGUCAGUUCGUGGCGUGAGUCGUUCCCUUCAGUGGGGCAACGGACGCAACCCUCGUCGCCUGUUAUACGUGUCAGGCGAGACGGUCCCAUUUAUGGGAAGGAAGGCGAGGAUGACGCCAAAUCAGCAUGGCCCUCUGAUGCCCUGGGCCACACACAUGCUACAAUGGAGCGUACAACGGGCCGCAAUACCGUAAGGUGGAGCUAAUCCCUAAAAGCACUCCCAAGUUCGGAUUGAGGGCUGCAACUCGCCCUCAUGAAGCUGGAAUCGCUAGUAAUCGCAGGUCAGCUAUACUGCGGUGAAUACGUUCUCAAGUCUUGUACUCACCGCCCGUCAACUCAGGGAAGCUGGGAGUAGCUGAAAUCCCGCGUAUGCGGGCCUAAGCUAAGCCUGGUGACAAGGAGUAAGUCGUAACAAGGCACGGGUAGCGGAAGCUGCUCGUGGAAUUUCUCCUUU
rfam:Candidatus Ryanbacteria bacterium RIFCSPHIGHO2_01_FTLL_48_27 rifcsphigho2_01_scaffold_154, whole genome shotgun sequence.